CAGUAGCCGCGGUAAUACGUAGGGUGCAAGCGUUAAUCGGAAUUACUGGGCGUAAAGCGUGCGCAGGCGGUUCGCUAAGACAGAUGUGAAAUCCCCGGGCUUAACCUGGGAACUGCAUUUGUGACUGGCGGGCUAGAGUAUGGCAGAGGGGGGUAGAAUUCCACGUGUAGCAGUGAAAUGCGUAGAGAUGUGGAGGAAUACCGAUGGCGAAGGCAGCCCCCUGGGCCAAUACUGACGCUCAUGCACGAAAGCGUGGGGAGCAAACAGGAUUAGAUACCCGCGUAGUCCCUGUCUCUUAUAC
rnacentral:rRNA from 1 species